GCCGCCUUGGCGUAGUGGUAGCGCGUCGCACUUGUACUGCAUCAUUCCCAGAUGUCUUCACAUGCGAAGGUCAUUCGUUCAAUCCGGGUAGGUGGCA